rnacentral:rRNA from 1 species
AGCAGUAGCCGCGGGAAUACAGAGGAUGCAAGCGUUGUCCGGAUUUAUUGGGCGUAAAGCGAGCGCAGGCGGUUAGAUAAGUCUGAAGUUAAAGGCUGUGGCUUAACCAUAGUACGCUUUGGAGACUGUUUAACUUGAGUGCAGAAGGGGAGAGUGGAAUUCCAUGUGCAGCGGUGAAAUGCGUAGAUAUAUGGAGGAACACCGGUGGCGAAAGCGGCUCUCUGGUCUGUAACUGACGCUGAGGCUCGAAAGCGUGGGGAGCAAACAGGAUUAGAUACCCCUGUAGUCCCUGUCUCUUAUACA